UGUGGUUCAAUUCGACGCAACGCGAAGAACCUUACCUGGGCUCGAACGGCUUCUCAACGGCGGUGGAAACACCGCUAUCCCGCAAGGGAGUGGAGUCGAGGUGCUGCAUGGCUGUCGUCAGCUCGUGUCGUGAGAUGUUGGGUUAAGUCCCGCAACGAGCGCAACCCUUGUCCUGUGUUGCCAUCCCGCAAGGGGGCACUCGCAGGAGACCGCCAGCGAUAAGCUGGAGGAAGGUGGGGAUGACGUCAAGUCCUCAUGGCCUUUAUGUCCAGGGCUACACACGUGCUACAAUGGCCGGUACAAAGCGUUCCCAGACCGCGAGGUGGAGGCAAUCGCAAAAAACCGGUCUCAGUUCGGAUUGCAGGCUGCAACUCGCCUGCAUGAAGCUGGAAUCGCUAGUAAUGGCAGAUCAGCACGCUGCCGUGAAUACGUUCCCGGGCCUUGU
rnacentral:rRNA from 1 species